CCAUCUGUCCACUGUCCGCUCAGGUCCGAUGGAAAAGAGGUGCAAGCUAAACCUAAAUUCAAACUAACUUUUUAAAAGGAAACAAAUUUCCUAGAAUAACUUAAAAACAAACUUUCUUACGUAAAUAUGAUGUCACUGUGCAUUGCAUGCUGGUCAUUUCUCGUGAUAUUUUGGUGGCCAUUGGUUGACAGAAAGAGUUUGAGCACUACAUUACAUCUUACAAUACACUGUUCAGAAGGGAGGCGCCUUGCAGUAGUCACCACGUCUGCCCCUUGCUUAGGGGAGCACUGUAUACUCAGUGCUUCACCGUGGAAUAAAGAACCUUAAUACACAUGUUAUGGUGUUACAUGUAGAUGAAGUACCACAAAGUUGGACCUAUGCUUAGCGCUCAUGGCCAUAGCGGUGUGGGUUCUUUUAAACCUGUGAGUUACAUGUGUCGAGCAACUAUUUCCACAAAAGGAAAAGUUUUCCUUUAGUUUGCUAUGUUUGUGGUGAUGAAAAUCCAUUGGAUGUACCACCUGAUGUUAUCGCAAGCCACUCCUCCGUUCACCCAGUCUGCAUAGUGUGUUCCCAGAAGGGAUACAAACCCAGAUUAAGAAAAAAGUCUUUGCUGGGAAAACGUAAAAAUUGACUUCGACUUCAACUUGAAAAUGAAAUCCUACAAUGUGUGUAAUUCGACAUCUUGCUUUUUUGGUCACUAGAUUUGGUGAUUACAACUGACUUGGACUUGAAUAUAAAAUCUUACAAUAUGUAUUAUUUGAAAUAGUUGCUUUUUGGGUCACUGAAGAGGUGAUUUUCAAUAAAUACACAUUUGUUUAAAA